rnacentral:misc_RNA from 1 species
GAUGAAGAACGCAGCGAAAUGCGAUAAGUAAUGCGAAUUGCAGAAUUUCCGUGAGUCAUCGAAUCUUUGAACGCACCUUGCGCUCCUUGGUAUUCCGAGGAGCAUGCCUGUUUGAGUGUCAUUAAUAUUAUCAACCUUUUUGGUUGGAUGUGGGUUUGCUGGACUCCUUGAGAUCAGCUCUCCUUAAAUGCAUUAGCGGACAACAUUUUGCCAACCGUUUAUUGGUGUGAUAAUUAUCUACGCUAUUGACGUGAAGCAAGGUUCAGCUUCUAACAGUCCAUUGACUUGGACAAGUCUCUUUUUAUUAAUGUGACCUCAAAUCAGGUAGGACUACCCGCUGAACUUAAGCAUAUCAAUAAGCGGAGGA